rnacentral:rRNA from 1 species
GUGCCAGCAGCCGCGGUAAUUCCAGCUCCAAUAGCGUAUACUAAAGUUGUUGCGAUUAAAAAGCUCGUAGUUGGAUCUCAGGCAUGGGCGCACGGUCCGCCUCGCGGCGGUCACUGUGUGUAUGUUUCCCCUCCUACGCUUCCCGGUUGUUAGCCCAUGGUGCUCUUCAUUGAGCGUUUUGGGUGGCCGGAACGUUUACUUUGAAGAAAUUAGAGUGUUCAAAGCAGGCACGUCGCCUGAAUAAUGGUGCAUGGAAUAAUGGAAUAGGACCUCGGUUCUAUUUUGCUGGUUUUCGGAACACGAGGUAAUGAUUAAGAGGGACAGACGGGGGCAUCCGUAUUGCGGUGUUAGAGGUGAAAUUCUUGGAUCAUCGCAAGACGAACUACUGCGAAAGC